GAACCAAACCUAGCCCAACCACACCCCAAAUUCAACUACACCCAAAAAUAAAACAAAACAUUUGACAAAAGAGAGUAUUGGAGAAAGAAAUCUACUUCAGGAGCCAUAGAGGAAGUACCGCAAGGGAAAGAUGAAAGACCACUUAAAAGUAAAAACAAGCAAAGACUAAACCUUGUACCUUUUGCAUAAUGAGUUAACUAGAAAACACCUAACUAAGAGACCUUGAGCUAGAUACCCCGAAACCAAACGAGCUACCUAAGAGCAGUACAAAGAACCAACCCGUCUAUGUAGCAAAAUAGUGGGAUGACUCCUAGGUAGAGGUGAAAAGCCUACCGAGCUUGGUGAUAGCUGGUUGCCCGACAAAGAAUCUCAGUUCAAAUUUAAGAUUGCCACAAGAAAUAGCAAUCAAAACGUAAUCUUAAACUUUAACCUAAAGAGGGGCAGCUCUUUAGGAAUGGAAACAACCUUUUAUAGUGAAUAAACCACCAAUCCCUAUAAACCAUUGUUGGCCUAAAAGCAGCCACCAACAAAGAAAGCGUUAAAGCUCAACACAAUAAAUUUCUUAAUUCCACAAGCCACAAUGAAUUCCUAUUAUACUAAUCGGGUCAAUCUAUAACUGUAUAGAUGAGACACUGUUAACAUGAGUAACAAGAACACUGUUCUCCAAGCACAAGCCUAUAACAACCCGGAUAACCAUUGUUAGUUAACAUCAACGAGUAAAAAAUCACCAAUAAAACCAACCCACACCCCAGUGUUAGCCCGACACAGGCGUGCAGCAAGGAAAGAUUAAAAGAAGUAAAAGGAACUCGGCAAACAAGAAUCCCGCCUGUUUACCAAAAACAUCACCUCUAGCAUAAGAAGUAUUGGAGGCACUGCCUGCCCAGUGACAAACGUUCAACGGCCGCGGUAUCCUGACCGUGCGAAGGUAGCAUAAUCACUUGUUCCUUAAUUGGGGACUAGAAUGAAUGGCCUCACGAGGAUUCAACUGUCUCUUACUUCCAAUCAGUGAAAUUGACCCCCCCGUGAAGAGGCGGGGAUGAUACAAUAAGACGAGAAGACCCUAUGGAGCUUUAAUUUACUAGCUUAACUACCCUGUCUACUCCUUUCCCAAGGGACUAAAAAGAAAAGAGAUAGGCCAGUAAUUUCGGUUGGGGUGACCUCGGAGAACAAAAAAACCUCCGAACGAUUUCAACUAAGACCCACAAGUCAAAGUUACCGUAAAUCUAAUUGACCCAAUUCAUUUGAUCAACGGACCAAGUUACCCUAGGGAUAACAGCGCAAUCCUAUUCAAGAGUCCAUAUCGACAAUUAGGGUUUACGACCUCGAUGUUGGAUCAGGACACCCCAAUGGUGCAGCAGCUAUUAAAGGUUCGUUUGUUCAACGAUUAAAGUCCUACGUGAUCUGAGUUCAGACCGGAGUAAUCCAGGUCGGUUUCUAUCUAUUAACCACCUCUCCCAGUACGAAAGGACAAGAGAAGUGAGGCCUCCUUAAUACAAGCGCCUUAAAACCAAUAUAUGAAGUCAUCUUAAUUUAGUAAGUUUGUCCAACAGCCCCCCUAGACUAGGGGGG
rnacentral:rRNA from 1 species